rnacentral:rRNA from 1 species
AGUGAACGCUGGCGGUAGGCCUAACACAUGCAAGUCGAACGGCAGCACAGUAAGAGCUUGCUCUUACGGGUGGCGAGUGGCGGACGGGUGAGGAAUACAUCGGAAUCUACUUUUUCGUGGGGGAUAACGUAGGGAAACUUACGCUAAUACCGCAUACGACCUACGGGUGAAGGCAGGGGAUCUUCGGACCUUGCGCGAUUGAAUGAGCCGAUGUCGGAUUAGCUAGUUGGCGGGGUAAAGGCCCACCAAGGCGACGAUCCGUAGCUGGUCUGAGAGGAUGAUCAGCCACACUGGAACUGAGACACGGUCCAGACUCCUACGGGAGGCAGCAGUGGGGAAUAUUGGAUAAUGGGCGCAAGCCUGAUCCAGCCAUACCGCGUGGGUGAAGAAGGCCUUCGGGUUGUAAAGCCCUUUUGUUGGGAAAGAAAAGCAGCAGGUUAAUACCCCGCUGUUCUGACGGUACCCAAAGAAUAAGCACCGGCUAACUUCGUG